ACUAAGCGUACACGGUGGAUGCCCUGGCAGUCAGAGGCGAUGAAGGACGUGCUAAUCUGCGAAAAGCGUCGGUAAGGUGAUAUGAACCGUUACAGCCGGCGAUGUCCGAAUGGGGAAACCCAGUGCAAUUCGUUGCACUAUCGUUAACUGAAUACAUAGGUUAACGAGGCGAACCGGGGAACUGAAACAUCUAAGUACCCCGAGGAAAAGAAAUCAACCGAGAUUCCCCAGUAGCGGCGAGCGAACGGGGAGCAGCCCAGAGUCUGAAUCAGCUUGUGUGUUAGUGGAACGGUCUGGAAAGUCCGACGGUACAGGGUGAUAGUCCCGUACACCAAAAUGCACAGGUUGUGAACUCGAAGAGUAGGGCGGGACACGUGGUAUCCUGUCUGAAUNNGGGGGACCAUCCUCCAAGGCUAAAUACUCCUGACUGACCGAUAGUGAACCAGUACCGUGAGGGAAAGGCGAAAAGAACCCCGGCGAGGGGAGUGAAAAAGAACCUGAAACCGUGUACGUACAAGCAGUGGGAGCACCCUUUAGGGUGUGACUGCGUACCUUUUGUAUAAUGGGUCAGCGACUUAUAUUCUGUAGCAAGGUUAACCGUAUAGGGGAGCCGCAGGGAAACCGAGUCUUAACUGGGCGUUAAGUUGCAGGGUAUAGACCCGAAACCCGGUGAUCUAGCCAUGGGCAGGUUGAAGGUUGGGUAACACUAACUGGAGGACCGAACCGACUAAUGUUGAAAAAUUAGCGGAUGACUUGUGGCUGGGGGUGAAAGGCCAAUCAAACCGGGAGAUAGCUGGUUCUCCCCGAAAGCUAUUUAGGUAGCGCCUCGUGAACUCAUCUUCGGGNNNNNNNNNNNNNNNNNNNNGGGGUCAUCCCGACUUACCAACCCGAUGCAAACUACGAAUACCGAAGAAUGUUAUCACGGGAGACACACGGCGGGUGCUAACGUCCGUCGUGAAGAGGGAAACAACCCAGACCGCCAGCUAAGGUCCCAAAGUCACAGUUAAGUGGGAAACGAUGUGGGAAGGCACAGACAGCCAGGAUGUUGGCUUAGAAGCAGCCAUCAUUUAAAGAAAGCGUAAUAGCUCACUGGUCGAGUCGGCCUGCGCGGAAGAUGUAACGGGGCUAAACUGUGCACCGAAGCUGCGGCAGCGACACUAUGUGUUGUUGGGUAGGGGAGCGUUCUGUAAGCCUGCGAAGGUGGCCUGUGAGGGUUGCUGGAGGUAUCAGAAGUGCGAAUGCUGACAUAAGUAACGAUAAUGCGGGUGAAAAGCCCGCACGCCGGAAGACCAAGGGUUCCUGUCCAACGUUAAUCGGGGCAGGGUGAGUCGACCCCUAAGGCGAGGCCGAAAGGCGUAGUCGAUGGGAAACAGGUUAAUAUUCCUGUACUUGGUGUUACUGCGAAGGGGGACGGAGAAGGCUAUGUUAGCCGGGCGACGGUUGUCCCGGUUUAAGCAUGUAGGCGGAGGUUCCAGGUAAAUCCGGUACCUUUUUAACGCUGAGGUGUGAUGACGAGGCACUACGGUGCUGAAGUAACAAAUGCCCUGCUUCCAGGAAAAGCCUCUAAGCAUCAGGUAACAUUAAAUCGUACCCCAAACCGACACAGGUGGUCAGGUAGAGAAUACCAAGGCGCUUGAGAGAACUCGGGUGAAGGAACUAGGCAAAAUGGUGCCGUAACUUCGGGAGAAGGCACGCUGAUAUGUAGGUGAAGUCCCUGCGGAUGGAGCUGAAAUCAGUCGAAGAUACCAGCUGGCUGCAACUGUUUAUUAAAAACACAGCACUGUGCAAACACGAAAGUGGACGUAUACGGUGUGACGCCUGCCCGGUGCCGGAAGGUUAAUUGAUGGGGUUAUCCGUAAGGAGAAGCUCUUGAUCGAAGCCCCGGUAAACGGCGGCCGUAACUAUAACGGUCCUAAGGUAGCGAAAUUCCUUGUCGGGUAAGUUCCGACCUGCACGAAUGGCGUAAUGAUGGCCAGGCUGUCUCCACCCGAGACUCAGUGAAAUUGAACUCGCUGUGAAGAUGCAGUGUACCCGCGGCAAGACGGAAAGACCCCGUGAACCUUUACUAUAGCUUGACACUGAACAUUGAGCCUUGAUGUGUAGGAUAGGUGGGAGGCUUUGAAGCGUGGACGCCAGUCUGCGUGGAGCCAACCUUGAAAUACCACCCUUUAAUGUUUGAUGUUCUAACGUUGGCCCCUGAUCGGGGUUGCGGACAGUGUCUGGUGGGUAGUUUGACUGGGGCGGUCUCCUCCCAAAGAGUAACGGAGGAGCACGAAGGUUAGCUAAUCCUGGUCGGACAUCAGGAGGUUAGUGCAAUGGCAUAAGCUAGCUUGACUGCGAGCGUGACGGCGCGAGCAGGUGCGAAAGCAGGUCAUAGUGAUCCGGUGGUUCUGAAUGGAAGGGCCAUCGCUCAACGGAUAAAAGGUACUCCGGGGAUAACAGGCUGAUACCGCCCAAGAGUUCAUAUCGACGGCGGUGUUUGGCACCUCGAUGUCGGCUCAUCACAUCCUGGGGCUGAAGUAGGUCCCAAGGGUAUGGCUGUUCGCCAUUUAAAGUGGUACGCGAGCUGGGUUUAGAACGUCGUGAGACAGUUCGGUCCCUAUCUGCCGUGGGCGCUGGAGAAUUGAGGGGGCUGCUCCUAGUACGAGAGGACCGGAGUGGACGCAUCACUGGUGUUCGGGUUGUCAUGCCAAUGGCAUUGCCCGGUAGCUAAAUGCGGAAGAGAUAAGUGCUGAAAGCAUCUAAGCACGAAACUUGCCCCGAGAUGAGUUCUCCCUGACUCCUUGAGAGUCCUGAAGGAACGUUAAAGACGAUGACGUUGAUAGGUCGGGUGUGUAAGCGUAGCGAUACGUUGAGCUAACCGAUACUAAUGAACCGUGAGGCUUAACC
rnacentral:rRNA from 1 species